GACGGAGGAUGCAAGUGUUAUCCGGAAUCACUGGGCGUAAAGCGUCUGUAGGUGGUUUAAUAAGUCAACUGUUAAAUCUUGAGGCUCAACCUCAAAAUCGCAGUCGAAACUAUUAGGCUAGAGUAUAGUAGGGGUAAAGGGAAUUUCCAGUGGAGCGGUGAAAUGCGUAGAGAUUGGAAAGAACACCGAUGGCGAAGGCGAUCACCUGGGGUUGUUCUGACGCUGAGGAGCGAAAGCUAGGGGAGCAAACGGG
rnacentral:rRNA from 1 species